CGUCUAUAUUGUAUUUAAAAUGUCCAUUAUCUGUUUUAAUUCGACUCCAUAAUUUAUUUUUUCCGUUUUGCUUUUCGAGGUUGAAGAAGUAGCUCGACGAUUUUUCCCCUUCUUCCGCCCAUUUUACACGCGCCCUUAUUUUAGACGCCUCGGAUUUGUUCUCAUAGUAAUUUUUAAUUAGUAAUUCUAUUUCUGAUAUCUUAUUUUCAAUCUCCCCAGAAGUAGUACUAUUUAAUUUGAGCUUUUCUAAUUUCUUUUCAAGGUUGAUAAUAUAACUUUUUUGAGAAUUUUUGUUUAAUAUUUUACUUACUUCCAUUGUUAACUUUUUUAUUUGUGAUUUUGUUACAUCCCACCAAUCUUGAAUUUUUUCGAACCUACUUUUUUCAAUUUUCCAGGUUUCACACCAAAUUUUAAAUGCAUUAUUAAAUUCUUCACUUUU
rnacentral:lncRNA from 1 species